AACCUUACCAGGUCUUGACAUCCUUUGACCACUCUAGAGAUAGAGCUUCCCCUUCGGGGGCAAAGUGACAGGUGGUGCAUGGUUGUCGUCAGCUCGUGUCGUGAGAUGUUGGGUUAAGUCCCGCAACGAGCGCAACCCUUAUUGUUAGUUGCCAUCAUUCAGUUGGGCACUCUAGCAAGACUGCCGGUGACAAACCGGAGGAAGGUGGGGAUGACGUCAAAUCAUCAUGCCCCUUAUGACCUGGGCUACACACGUGCUACAAUGGGAAGUACAACGAGUCGCGAAGUCGCGAGGCUAAGCUAAUCUCUUAAAGCUUCUCUCAGUUCGGAUUGCAGGCUGCAACUCGCCUGCAUGAAGCCGGAAUCGCUAGUAAUCGCGGAUCAGCACGCCGCGGUGAAUACGUUCCCGGGCCUUGUACACACCGCCCGUCACACCACGAGAGUUUGUAACACCCGAAGUCGGUGAGGUAACCUUUUUGGAGCCAGCCGCCUAAGGUGGGAUAGAUGAUUGGGGUGAAGUCGUAACAAGGUAGCCGUAUCGGAAGGUGCGGCUGGAUCACCUCCUUUCUAAGGAA
rnacentral:rRNA from 1 species